rnacentral:rRNA from 1 species
AGUGAACGCUGGCGGUAGGCCUAACACAUGCAAGUCGAACGGCAGCACAGUAAGAGCUUGCUCUUACGGGUGGCGAGUGGCGGACGGGUGAGGAAUACAUCGGAAUCUACUUUUUCGUGGGGGAUAACGUAGGGAAACUUACGCUAAUACCGCAUACGACCUACGGGUGAAAGCAGGGGAUCUUCGGACCUUGCGCGAUUGAAUGAGCCGAUGUCGGAUUAGCUAGUUGGCGGGGUAAAGGCCCACCAAGGCGACGAUCCGUAGCUGGUCUGAGAGGAUGAACCGCCACACUGGAACUGAGACACGGUCCAGACUCCUACGGGAGGCAGCAGUGGGGAAUAUUGGAAAAUGGGCGCAAGCCUGAUCCAGCCAUACCGCGUGGGUGAAGAAGGCCUUCGGGUUGUAAAGCCCUUUUGUUGGGAAAGAAAAGCAGCAGGUUAAUACCCCGCUGUUCUGAAGGUACCCAAAGAAUAAGCACCGGCUAACUUCGUG